UAGUCCACGCCGUAAACGAUGGAUACUAGGUGUAGGAGGUAUCGACCCCUCCUGUGCCGCAGCUAACGCAAUAAGUAUCCCACCUGGGGAGUACGGUCGCAAGACUGAAACUCAAAGGAAUUGACGGGGGCCCGCACAAGCGGUGGAGCAUGUGCUUUAAUUCGAUGCAACGCGAAGAACCUUACCUGGUCUUGACAUGGGAGUGAAAGUCUCUAGAGAUAGAGGACCUUCCUUCGGGAACACUCCACACAGGUGCUGCAUGGUUGUCGUCAGCUCGUGUCGUGAGAUGUUGGGUUAAGUCCCGUAACGAGCGCAACCCCUAUCCUUAGUUGCCAUCAGGUUAUGCUGGGAACUCUAGGGAGACUGCCUGGAUUAACCAGGAGGAAGGUGGGGAUGACGUCAAAUCCUCAUGGCCCUUACGACCAGGGCUAGACACGUGCUACAAUGGGCGGUACAACAGGAGGCGAAGUCGCGAGAUGGAGCUAAUCCUUCAAAACCGUUCUCAGUUC
rnacentral:rRNA from 1 species